CUGGAGCCUAGAAGUCCAAGAUCACGGUGCAGAUAGGACUCUGUUCUGUUCCCUUGGUCUACUUGUCUAACUUGACUCCAGUACCACAGUGUCUUGCUGCAGCUUCAUACACUUUGAAAUCAGUUGCCUCCUAAGCCAUACUGGUCUGCACUGUUCUUCAUAUAUCAGGUUCAAGCUAAUGGAUCCAAGCCAAAGGACUCCAUAUUCUCCAAAGCCUUGAUCUUGGAAACCGUGUAUUGAAGAUGGUGAAGCCACAGAUGGAAGGCACCUGGAUCCAGUUUUAAAAGAGCUGCCUGCCAAUCAGGAACACCCUUUUUGAACUUUGAGGAUGUGUUUUAAUUCUCAUAUUCCUGCAUAACAAACAACUCCAAAUUUAGUGGAUUAAAACAAUAAUUUAUUAUAAUCCCUAUAAAUUCUGUGAAUUGACUGGGUUUAGCAGGGUGGAUCUCACUUGGGGUGACUCAUAUGAUUGCAGUCAGAUGUGGGCAUUUUUCUUUUAAUUUUUAUUCAGUGCCUAGAUCCUUUACU